rnacentral:lncRNA from 1 species
CUGGAGGAUAAAUGUAGAGCCAAUCUGAGGCACCCUGCAAAAUUAUCCACUUCUCAGUUUCUUUUUCAAAUCAAAAUUAUAAUGUUGACCAAAAUCCCUAGGUUUAAUUGCACCCCUCAAAAAAUACUUCUAAAUAUCAAAAUUGUACCAACUGAAUCCCCUAGUAUCUCAAUUAUUUGUUAGGGUUAUCUUUCCUUCAUUAACCGUCUACUACUUCGUCUCUUUUUAUAAACACCUUUUUACUCGGGCUGGGAUCCUCUCCAGUUGAAAUGGUUUAUUAAAAGGGACUGAGAGAGUAAUUAUUAAGGCUAGUGGGGCCAAUUUAUAAUUAAUUUGCACAGUUAAAGCAUAUGAGAUCAAAAUUGUACAAAAUUGAUAUGAGGGACCAAAAGUAAAAUUAUG